rnacentral:snRNA from 1 species
AUACUUACCUGGCAGGGGAGAUACCAUGAUAACGUAGGUGGUUUUCCCAGGGAGAGGCCCACCCAUUGCACUUCGGGUGUGUUGACCCCUGCGAUUUCCCCAAAUGCGGGAAACUCGACUGCAUAAUUUUUGUUAGUGGGGGACUGCGUUCGCGCUCUCCCCUG